rnacentral:rRNA from 1 species
AUUGAACGCUGGCGGCAUGCCUAACACAUGCAAGUCGCACGCGAAAGGGGGCAACCCUGAGUAGAGUGGCGGACGGGUGAGUAACGCGUAGGAAUCUACCUGGUAGUGGGGGACAACCCGGUGAAAACCGGGCUAAUACCGCAUACGAUCCACGGAUGAAAGCAGGGGACCGCAAGGCCUUGCGCUAUCAGAUGAGCCUGCGUCGGAUUAGCUAGUUGGUGGGGUAAAGGCCCACCAAGGCGACGAUCCGUAGCUGGUUUGAGAGAACGACCAGCCACACUGGGACUGAGACACGGCCCAGACUCCUACGGGAGGCAGCAGUGGGGAAUAUUGGACAAUGGGGGCAACCCUGAUCCAGCAAUGCCGCGUGUGUGAAGAAGGCCUUCGGGUUGUAAAGCACUUUCGGUGGGGACAAACAAGGUGGAGCUAACAUCUCCGCCUCUGAUGGUACCCAAAGAAGAAGCACCGGCUAACUCUGUGCCAGCCGCCGCGGUAA